UCCCGCUCCAACGCACUGCUUCCCGUUCCACGAUCCCUGCAAUUCGUCGCUGAUGGGCCUUCUGAUUGUAGGCACAUCGGAGCUCUAGCUAUCCGUGGAAGUGGAAGGAGUCAUCGAUGCGGCCAUCCUCGCGCAGCCGAAUGAGCAUGUGCGCACGCUGUUUGUCUGCUCCCUGCUCUACUGAGUACUGACGCGGGCAACCUCGGACGCGCCGCUCUGCUCCGGGCUUCCUCGCGCUGGCGUCCUCAGACCCGGUUCCAGUGUAACGGCCGUGCCCGUUUCCAGCGGAUGAGUUAACGUUCGGGAAGGAGAACGUCGUUGGCCUCAUAAAUGCCCUCUUUAUGUCGCUAUGACCCGCAAGCCCAACUGAAAAAGAGCAUGAGCAUCUCUUCUCCUUGCGAUUGGUACUUAUUAGCUGUUGUAUUUUUGGAUUUCUGAUGGUGCUUUGGAGGAUUAAUCUUCUGUACUUUUUGAUGGAUUUCCAUGGUCCGCAUAGCUCUGAUGAAGAUCAGUACCAAUGUUCCGAGGUGCUUGCUAGCUUGAACUUGGCGAGGACGGCGACCUACGGACUACAACAACAACGCUUCUGCAGUUUAAAGUCAAGUGCUCCUGUGUUGAUCUUCAGUUUGUUAUUUUCCUACGCAGAUGUACAUGCUGGAAAACUUUGCAGCCCAAUUCUAUGUUGUUCUCCGGAUAAGUAUAAAUGACUGAGAAUGAAUUACCGCUUCUUGAUGUGCAGCCUAAUCCUAAUUCUGAAUUUCAUAUAAAACCAUCUGGCAGGUUUGGUA